rnacentral:piRNA from 1 species
UAACUAGAAGGUAUCUACGCGCAUUUUG